UUUCAAGAGUAUAUUUAAGCAAAGCAGAUUAAUUUUUCUGAAGAAAAGAAAGAAGAGGACAAAGAAAAAGUAAACUUGGAGGAAACUGCAGAGAGGGCAGCAGAGCCCCAGGCGUGAGACACGGAGUGAAGGAUGAGCUGGCAGCCAGGCUGUUCCUCCUGCAGGACCAGCGCAGAUCAGGAGCCGGACGCAGACCCCAGCCCUGCUGCUGGAGCUCCUCAGGACCUGUUGUCAAAGUCACUUGAUAAAUGAUCAAAUGUAGUAUGUUAUUAAGUCGUUCUUUUGGGGCCAUUCAUGAGUGCCUUGAAGACCACAAUCAUUUCCGGGCUCCCAGUGGGGAGCCGUGUCUCCAUGAGGCAGGUAGAGAACCAACCUGAAGACCAUCCCACCACACACAAGGGCCCAGAGCCAGAAAGAUCAGAUCUAAAAGAUCUGGAAGUCAGCUCAACUUAAAUUUAAACUAGAAAUAUCAAGAGAUCACUCUGAGAGACAAGACUGAAAAGUCAUCAUCUUCUCUGAGUUGACCAAGAUUGAAACACUUAUAUUCAUAAAUAAUUGUCUUGAAGAUCAAAGAAACAUUCUUAUGGCAUAAAAUAUACCAUGCAUCAUUUAGCCAACCCCCUGCCAUAAAACCUAACAGAGACGAAAGAUUAAGAAAUGAUGUCACAGCCACAAGACACCACACCUAUGAAACACAACGUUUCAAAGAAUUAUUCCCACUUGUCUGUAACUGUGCACGUGUUAAACCACAAAAGAAAACAGAAACUAGAGCCACUUCUACUCACACUUGAAGUUCACAAAUAGUGUCAAGUUAAUUUUUUUGUGCUUCAGAUUGCUUUUGCUAAAGAGUGCUCUUUUUUCUUUUACUUUCUCUUUUCUUUUUACUUAUUACGAAUUACAGCGUAUAUUCCUAGGAAUGUAAUGUCUAG
rnacentral:lncRNA from 1 species